rnacentral:rRNA from 1 species
AUUGAACGCUGGCGGCAGGCCUAACACAUGCAAGUCGAGCGGAUGAAGGGAGCUUGCUCCUGGAUUCAGCGGCGGACGGGUGAGUAAUGCCUAGGAAUCUGCCUGGUAGUGGGGGAUAACGUCCGGAAACGGGCGCUAAUACCGCAUACGUCCUGAGGGAGAAAGUGGGGGAUCUUCGGACCUCACGCUAUCAGAUGAGCCUAGGUUGGAUUAGCUAGUUGGUGGGGUAAAGGCCUGCCAAGGCGACGAUCCGUAACUGGUCUGAGAGGAUGAUCAGUCACACUGGAACUGAGACACGGUCCAGACUCCUACGGGAGGCAGCAGUGGGGAAUAUUGGACAAUGGGCGAAAGCCUGAUCCAGCCAUGCCGCGUGUGUGAAGAAGGUCUUCGGAUUGUAAAGCACUUUAAGUUGGGAGGAAGGGCAGUAAGUUAAUACCUUGCUGUUUUGACGUUACCAACAGAAUAAGCACCGGCUAACUUCGUG